GACAGAGGGGGCAAGCGUUGCUCGGAAUCACUGGGCGUAAAGGGCGCGUAGGCGGGAUGGCAAGUCAGUCGUGAAAUCUCUCGGCUCAACCGAGAAACGUCGGCUGAUACUGCCGUUCUUGAGGGAUGCAGAGGAGACUGGAAUUCCCGGUGUAGCGGUGAAAUGUGUAGAGAUCGGGAGGAACACCGGUGGCGAAGGCGGGUCUCUGGGCAUUUCCUGACGCUGAGGCGCGAAAGCCAGGGGAGCGAACGGG
rnacentral:rRNA from 1 species